UAUUGGCUCCAGUUAGACCAACAUUGAUGCUUCAUAUGUUUGAUUCUAUGCAAACUCAGUGACCUUCCUUGUUACUCAGUUAUAAAAACUUCCCAUCAGGCAGUCAGUGGAGUUCACAGCACGUCAGUUUCAACAUAAACCAUGUUCUCUGUAGCUCUGCUGCUGCUGUUGGCAGCUGGAUGUGUGAAGUGUGAACAGUUGACACAGCCAGCCUCUGUGACUGUGCAGCCAGGUCAACGUCUGACCAUCACCUGUCAGGUCUCUUAUUCUGUUAGCAGCUACUACACAGCUUGGAUCAGACAGCCUGCAGGGAAAGGACUGGAGUGGAUUGGAAUGGAACGUGUUGGAUACACAGCAUAUUACAAAGAUUCACUGAAGAACAAGUUCAGUAUCACCUUAGACUCUUCCAGUAACACAGUGACUCUAAACGGACAGAAUGUGCAGCCUGAAGACUCUGCUGUGUAUUACUGUGCCCGACAGACACAGUGAGAGACAAUAACAGCAG